AACGAACGCUGGCGGCAGGCUUAACACAUGCAAGUCGAACGCAUCGCAAGAUGAGUGGCAGACGGGUGAGUAACGCGUGGGAAUCUACCCAGUUCUACGGAACAACAGUUGGAAACGACUGCUAAUACCGUAUACGCCCUACGGGGGAAAGAUUUAUCGGAAUUGGAUGAGCCCGCGUAAGAUUAGCUAGUUGGUGGGGUAAUGGCCUACCAAGGCGACGAUCUUUAGCUGGUCUGAGAGGAUGAUCAGCCACACUGGGACUGAGACACGGCCCAGACUCCUACGGGAGGCAGCAGUGGGGAAUAUUGGACGAUGGGCGCAAGCCUGAUCCAGCCAUGCCGCGUGAGUGAUGAAGGCCUUAGGGUUGUAAAGCUCUUUCACCGAUGAAGAUAAUGACGGUAGUCGGAGAAGAAGCCCCGGCUAACUUCGUGCCAGCAGCCGCCGUAAAAC
rnacentral:rRNA from 1 species